GAUGAACGCUGGCGGCGUGCCUAAUACAUGCAAGUCGAGCGAACGGACGAGAAGCUUGCUUCUCUGAUGUUAGCGGCGGACGGGUGAGUAACACGUGGAUAACCUACCUAUAAGACUGGGAUAACUUCGGGAAACCGGGGCUAAUACCGGAUAAUAUUUUGAACCGCAUGGUUCAAAAGUGAAAGGCGGUCUUGCUGUCACUUAUAGAUGGAUCCGCGCUGCAUUAGCUAGUUGGUAAGGUAACGGCUUACCAAGGCAACGAUGCAUAGCCGACCUGAGAGGGUGAUCGGCCACACUGGAACUGAGACACGGUCCAGACUCCUACGGGAGGCAGCAGUAGGGAAUCUUCCGCAAUGGGCGAAAGCCUGACGGAGCAACGCCGCGUGAGUGAUGAAGGUCUUCGGAUCGUAAAACUCUGUUAUUAGGGAAGAACAUAUGUGUAAGUAACUGUGCACAUCUUGACGGUACCUAAUCAGAAAGCCACGGCUAACUACGUG
rnacentral:rRNA from 1 species